CUUCCUUUACGGGACCCCAUUUCUUGGAAUGUUUUUCUUGCAUCUGCAGCAGGGCACAGAUCAGAGUGCUAGUCUGAGUUAAAAAGAAAUGUUCUUCUGAGGACUAGUUUUAAUUGAAAUCCAUUUCCUGGUUCAGUUUAACACAGGGCUACACUGCAUGUGUACAAUUCAGGGGCAGCGUGAAGGGGAAAACAAGAGGAAUGGAGGAGUGCAUGGUGGGGAAUGCAUAAGUAGAGACUUCUACCAAAAAAACUUGUCAAACUAUGUCCUGAAAGACUUUGUUCUUGAAGCCAGAAGCACCUCUUUGCUUUGUGUUCAGCUAGCACCUUGUGCAAAGGGAUCACAGUUGCAGAGCUCUCAGGACUCUCGGAGCUAUUGUAAUACCAAAAAAUAAUAAGCGUUCCUACAGACUGACACAAUUAACCAAAUUCCACUUGCAGAUCUUCAUUGUUGGCAACUUGUGCAGCAUUUUAUGUAGCCAAAGCUGGAGACUAGUUCUAUUCCUGAGUUCUGUCUCUGGUUCUAAUGAGGAAUAACUGAAUGACUCUGGCAUUCAGUUAACCUACCAAUAAAGGAAUUACUUUCCUCACAGAGCUUUUUUAUACUGAACUACAUUUUUUUAAUGAGCUUUGACAUUCUCAGAUGAAAGGAGUAAUGUGUACAAUGUAUUAUUAGAGCAAAAAUUAUAUAUGACAGAUCUCGAGGUAUUUUCCUCCUUUUUGUUUCACCUUUUGUCACUGUACUCCUACACAAGACUCAAGGCACACAUCAAAUGUUUGAAUAAUGCCAACAUGAAACUAAAGGAUUGUAAAUAACGUACUCGCUCUUCACCGAGCAAUGCUCCAUGCGUUUAUUUUAAUCUGAUAUUUCCUGGAUAGAAACAGAGGUUACUCCCCCUGAGAGUUCAAAUAUCGAUAGUGCUCUCCAUAGCAAGGGAAGGCUCACAAUUCCCACAAAAACAGCUGCUGCUUGGUAACGAGACAAUGGGACAGAAUACGCAGAGUGUAAAAUUAGAGUCUUUACUGCUCUUCCUGAGGGGCCAAAGCUUGAAGUGUCACUCAACUUCGUUUAGGAUUCAGCAAGAGUUUUCCUGUCAUAGGACAGAGGAAAUAAAUAAGAGUUGUUAAACUUUUAUAAAUAAAUAAGAGUUGCAGGAGUUGGCCAGAGUUAAAAUCCUAGAAAGCACGUGUUUGUAAGUUCUGUUUGUAGACAAAUUGGAUCCUUCUUAAUUUUCCCACAAGUGGAACAGAGAGAGAUGAUCAUCUGAAGGUCUCCUUGCAGGAAACCCCCAAAAGAACAAAGUAAGUUCCGUGUCCUCAGCGUCGCUCUAUCCCCACUGCUUAGUUAUCCUAAAGCUCUGAUUCAGCUUUCAUACAAAUUUAUAGCACUGUAAUUUCCACCCAUUUUGAUCCAGAUCUACUAUGUCUAGUUAGAAGGACUUGAGCACUCGAGCUUCCACCCUAGCUGUGAGGAAAUCAGUUUUUCUUCAAACAGAGCCAAAAUCAGGGGCUAGCAGCUACUUCUCCUGUUAAUUAUUUCAGGGCCUUCCUCAUAAAAAUGUGGUUGGCACAGCUAUUCCAGAAUAACUCCCGGUAUUAUUAUUGCAGUGUUUUCCUUUGAAAGUGUCCCUGUUAGCGAUCGAUCACUCUACCCAGGAAUACUUCUUGGAAGCUGUCAGUUUUUCCAACUUCUAUUUAGAGCUUUCAUGACGCAGGAGCGUCCGUAGUAAAAGAAAGCCUCAAACAUAAACAUAAAACCAACCGCAAAAGGUAUUAUUUAAUCACCAGAUAUUGCAAAUAGCCUCUAGUUUUUCAGACGUUUUCUGUGGAACUGUUCUGGCUGUAUUAAGCUUGGCUGAAGUCUUCCAGAUGGAUUGGCCCUAAUACUGGCCUGUAAAACUAGGAACUGUGUAUCCCUCCUGGUAGGAUUUGAACAUCUCCAGGUGUGAAUGCAUCGAGGAGAUCUAAGUAUCUGCCCUUAUAACGCCCUGCAGGUGCUGCAGAUAGCAAAGAGCCACCUUUGCAUGUGCCAAUACAUGUUUUCAAACAAGAACUUUUGCACAUUUCAGAUCUCGUCUUGACCUGUGAACUCCUCAGGCUAAAAUAAAUGGAUAUCCACAUCUGGAAGAGGUGAUAGCGCAUCUGGACAGACUUUUAAAAAUGUUACGUCAGCCUUUUUGUCUCUGGUGUCUGGGAACAAGAACAAGUGUUAUAUGACCGCCCAGCUCUUCGUAAAUUACUGUCAAGUGCUCUGGUAAGUUAAAAAUGCUGGUACAGGAAAAAAAUAAAAGUCAGGUUUAGCAACUACGUCGCACGGGAACUUUGCCAAAAGUUAAGGGAAAAAAAAAUCCAAACGAAUCUUUGGAUUUAUUCAAAUGUAUAAUAUUAGUCACUCUUUGCUGUCUGUGUUACUGAACCACCUUCCAGCUUCAAAGGCAGUUAUUAAUCCAGAAAUAUUUUCAUCUGAGGGUUUAGAUUGCAACAACUGUGAGGACACGUGGAAGAUUCUUCCAUCAUUAUCUAACCAUUCAGACCUAAUGUGAGUACUCGACUGGGAAGGCCUGUGACUAGUGGAGAUGAAUAAACAGUUGGAGG